GGGCGAUUAGCUCAGCGGGAGAGCACUACCUUGACAUGGUAGGGGUCACUGGUUCAAUCCCAGUAUCGCCCACCA
rnacentral:tRNA from 5 species